rnacentral:lncRNA from 1 species
AUGGUGCUUUCCGCUGCCCGCGCUGGCCUGAGUGAAGCCCACAAAACCCUACCGGGCACAUGUGAAAGCCACGUCUCUGUGGGACAAGCCCCCCGCCUUCAGCCCCGUGCACUGGGCCCAGAGCGGCCACUCGAGGCCCCGGGCUUCAUCCACAACCACAAUUCACACACCUGUUGUCAGCAUGGAGCCAACGCGGACCUAAGGAGGCUCGGAGUGAUGGGGGCGAUGAAGGUGACCAAGACACUGAAGGAGACAGCCUUCGCAGGGACAUGAUGGAUGGGAAAUGGAUCUUCUGCCUGGAGUCCAGCAGGAACACAUUUCCAUGAUACAGAAUCAGGUGGCUCACCACUCUACACAUAAAUCCCUAAACGACAACACCUCCCCCAUCCCACAUUCCUCUCCCCCGACCAGAGCAAGUGUACAAGCGAUUUUCCUGCCUCAGCCUCCCAAGUAGCUGGGAUUACAGGCAUGUGCCACCAACACACCCAGCUAAUUUUUGUAUUUUUAGUAGAAACGGGUUUCACCAUGUUGGCUAGGAUGGUCUCGAUCUACUGACCUUGUGAUCCGCCCACCUCGGUCAUCUAAAGUGCUGGUAUUACAGGCAUCAGCCACCUCACCCAGCUGGUAUUUAGAUUUUAAUCACUUCCUGCUAACUUCUUGGUAGUUGAAUCAGCAGGAAGUACCAAACUGCCCGAAACAAAUUAGAGGGAGAAAUGGGCAGUUUGUAUAAGUCAGUUAAAUGAGAAAAAAGGAGAUAAUCACAAUUGUGUAGGAUGGAUUUCCACUCUGUAACUAUUAUUCAUCUUUAAUUAAUAUACCAUUACAGAAGGUGUACUGAGUUGCUAAUUCAACCUUUCUACGGUUUUGUCUUGACCAGGUCUAUAGCACGGUGCCCUGAUUUAUAGGAGGUAGGUAAAAAUACAGCCAUCCUUCACGCAGCUCUUACGAGGCUGUUUUUGAAGGAUUUUAAAGCAUGGGGCAAGUGGUAGGACCCGGGUCAAAU